CUUACGGCUACUCUUUCCUGCCGUGCGGCUUCCUAGGCAUCUUGGGAUAUUCCCAUGAGAGAAGGCUGAUUCCUAGAUACUGGCCACAGCACACCCGGGUUGCAGCAGAGCUUGUUAGAGCACGACAGUUUUGCGAUGAGUCGGUGUGCCUUACGGCUACUCUUUCCUGCCGUGCGGCUUCCUAGGCAUCUUGGGAUAUUCCCAUGAGAGAAGGCUGAUUCCUAGAUACUGGCCACAGCACACCCGGGUUGCAGCAGAGCUUGUUAGAGGCCAGAAGACAAUGAGGUAUCAUGAGAAAGCUCUGGAGAGAGAAUGCUGCUGGCUGAAGAAGGGGGCAAAUGGAAGACCUGGCCAUAAGGCUAUUGUGUUCCUUAAGAGUAAAGUACCUGAUUAAGAAACAACCAUGUCUCCGACUUACAACAUACCAUACAAGAGCCAUGUUGGAAAAAGCGAUGCAAAGUUACACCACCUCUAACCAACGUCCUUUUGGCUGCUUCAUCUCCGGUCCUCUGGUCUCGUCUGUGGUCUCUGCCCAUUUGGCGUGGUCGGCUUCCUAGAAGUCCUGACUUCUCUUGGCUUGUCCGGUUCUUUCACUCCUCUCCAAGUCUCUAAAACAAAAAGUGGAUGCACCUGAGACUUUGAGCAAGCACAUAAAGUUCUGUUCCCAGCCACCUGGUAUUGUCCUGUCCUCUGCAGUCAGGCUCUGCUACUAAAAAGACCCUACACCUCGGAGGUCCCACGUGUUGACCUUGGUGCCCCAAGGAGGAAGGAAGGAAAGAAGGACGGCUAGAAACCGGGCCUGUCUACAGGUGGCCUCCCUAGUCCCGCCUACUCUCCGGAGAGCCUCCCACUGCUUCCCAGCACCUUCCCUGCCCGUACUUCCCCCAUAGGCCAGCUCCACACACGUGGACCCCAGAGGGAGGUCUUGCCUGGGAACAGAAGUUGAGAUCCCUCUGGGGAUUAGCUGCUCAAAGUCUGAUGAGGAAAACGUUGGGGAAUUUUCCAGAAAUGCCCUCACGGUGGCGGUGUGGCGCCCUGAACGCUCUCAAUUAGAGCCAGUCUCCUCCACAGGCUUCUCUCCCUCCCAUCCAGUGUUAGAGGAAAGAACGUGACCAAGAGACAAAGAUACCAGAAACUAUGGCUGCCUUGUCCUUGAACAGUUUUAGAAAAUCUGCUUGCAUCAUGGUUUUCCUUUUGGUUUUCAUCCAAAAUCAGAGGUCUAGUUCAAGAAUUAAAUUUCCACCUACCCAGUCUUUGCAAUUCGCCCCCACACCCUACCCCACGCACACUCACCUCCAUUCCCAUCACGCUACCCCCAGCUUCACUCAGCAUUUUCUCAUGGAACCAAAUUGUCUUGGAGUAUCCGGGAUGAACUCCAGGGACCCGAGGCUAGUGGGAAAAGAAAAAUAGUUGCAGCUAAGGGGUUGGAGACCAGCCACUUCAGGCGUCACUACCAGUGCCUUGUCACUGGCCUCCUUCCCACACUCCCUGGGGAAUCUGCACGUACUCUGACCAGAGUACCAAACCUGUAUGUUGGGGGAAACUCCACAACUCCAAAUUAUGUGUCUAGUAGACUACAAGCAUAUAUAAUACAGCGUACUCUGUAUUAAGGAGAAGGGGGUUUUGAUAAUUAUUUUAAUCAAUUUUAUUCAUUAAAAUUAUAAGAAAAAGGUCAUCCACUUUCAGCGUGUCAUUUAGAGUGAUACACACACUCAAAUAUGGAUAAAUACUGUAUGUGAAAAACUUAGCCUGUGUUUUCAUUACCAGAGGCAUUUCUUUCUCAUGGCUGUAUACCACUGCCAAUGACUUCACUGUGUAAGAACAUGUCACUGAGGGAAUAGUCUUAGAGUAUGUUCUUUGAAGUAAAAAGGCAUUGCAUCUGCUAAGAAUUCAGAAAAUAACCAUGUGCUGCUGAUGAAAACCACUGAUAAACAUUUGCAUGAUGUUUCAACAUAAACAUACAGUUUCAGUGUAUUGGGUAUUUACUUCAACACAACACAGAUAUUUACACUAAGCUUCCUGUAAGUUUAUGUUUAAAGCGCAUCUAUUUUCAUGUUUUGUAUUUUUACCUGUUUCCAGGACAGUUGAUCAUUAUCCUGGAAUUGUUUUCCAACAUAAUAGUUUUAUUGAUUAUUUGGGAAUUUCAUACAAUGCACCCUGAUCACACUCGCUUCCCAUUCCUCCCAUGUCUACUGUGCAACUUUUGUGAUCCACCCUUCCCCCAAAAAAGAAAAAAAAAUAAAUGAAGUCCAAUUUGAGUUGCCUAUAUACUAACUGGAGCAUGGUCGAACUCCCAGUGGCCAUCUCCUUAAAGAAAACUGAGUCCUUCCCCAUCAUAAAAUGAAACCAUGUCAAAAACUGCUUUUGUUGUUGCUAUUAUUUAAGACACAUAUCAUGCUGUA